rnacentral:rRNA from 1 species
CCUACGGGGGGCUGCAGUAGGAAGUUGAUGAACUGGUGCGCGGUAUCCGGGUGCGGUGCAUCCGCCGGAAUCACCAUCACAUCGGUCCAGACCACCGCACCUUCGGAGGGUACAGUAUAGGCCACCUCAACCCCGUUGCCGGCUUCGGCCGCACGGUCACGGGCCUGCAGAAUGUCACCGGAGUAGCCGUGGGCUACACAGAUAUCGCCAUUUGCCAGGUCGUUGAUGUACUGCGAGCUGUGGAAGUAACGAAUAUUCGGACGUACGGCCAUGUCGACUGCAGCCGCCCGUAGG